GCGUUUUCAAUCGCUCACCUGCAGAGCCGCCAGAUUCUGGCCAAUCUCGGCUUUUUUCCCUCUCACUGUGGGUUCUUCAGAGCCCCAUGGUUUAGACACAACGGUGGAUUCUCUUGUGCCCCAAUUACCACAUGCGUCAUGGGGAGAAGAGCUUGAACCCCCCAGAGGGUCAGGUCCAGGGACUUGAGCAUCCAUGGAUUUUGGUGCCUGAGGAGAGUCCUGGAACCAAUCCCCCAUGGAUACUGAGGGACAACUGUAAUCUUUUUUGGAAUAAGGAAUUAAAAAUUUCCCCAAAAUG
rnacentral:lncRNA from 10 species